CGGACACCCACCCUCGGGUGGAAGCGAGUGGCGAACGGCUGAGUAACACGUGGAGAACCCGCCCCCUCCUCCGGGAUAGCCUCGGGAAACCGUGGGUAAUACCGGAUGACCCCGCAGGGCCGCAUGGCCCCGCGGGCAAAGCCCAGACGGGAGGGGAUGGCUCCGCGGCCCAUCAGGUAGACGGCGGGGUGACGGCCCACCGUGCCGACGACGGGUAGCCGGGUUGAGAGACCGACCGGCCAGAUUGGGACUGAGACACGGCCCAG
rnacentral:rRNA from 1 species